UUUUCACAUAAGCUUAGAAAGGUGUUCUGCAACCUUAAAGGACUUCAAAGUAAGCAAAUUGGCUGUAAGCUCUUAAGUAUCAAAAGAACAUAUUUUCCAUCUUCUUGACUCAAUAUCACUAUCACUUCUUAUAGGCUGAUAAAGGUGGUUCUUAAACAUGAGCUGACCCCACACCGAAAAUUAUGUCAAGUACAGAAGGUUGGGUCUGAAGGCCAGUCUAGGGUUUCAUUUGAGGAUCUUUUUCUGGUGGUGCUAUGGUGUGUCAUUGAUGGUGGCUCAUCAUGAAGAGAGAUUCAUCGUUUCAUCGGGAAGUUGCUCCAGGGGAAGAAUGGGAUAAAUCUCUACCCAUCAAAUAGACAUGGAGGAAAGCAAGAAGCUUCCAUGGUGGAGAAAUGACAAUAACUUUAAAAGGCAGCACAGUGAGUUCUAACCAACAAAGGCACAUUGAGCGCUGUUCUCAGUCAGACGAGGCUGCAUUCCACACGCUGCAUCUAGCGUCUCUGAUGCCCGCAUCAAGGACUGGUCCUGCAGGCUGCUGUUGGUGGAGCUGAGCUCCCUUUGCAUCCAUCUCCUGCGCCUGACGCAGCCGGAGGACACACCUCAGUACCUGGGAAUUGUGCUUCGUGCAGGCUCUCUCCCCUGUCGUCUCCAUGAAGAUGUGAGCAAUGGAAAAUACAAAAUGAGGCAUUUUGGCUGCAUUAAUAAAUGCAGAAAUGGAUGUCGUGGAUGGUACAUGGCAAAUGGAAAACAAUUGAAAUUAGCUUUGGCUAAUUACAUAAUGACUGGGUGGAUGGCCCCUCUUGCCUCAGAAACUGUAUUUUCUCUCUUAUGUUCUUAAGAAAGGCAUUUGAAUUCAGGUUGUGUGUGUGGCAGUGGUGAUUUCACACAAAUAAUCUAAGUUUUUACUACAUAAGUGUAGUUUUUGUACAUAUGAGAGUGUGUAUAUGUACGUAUUUGCAUAAAAUUUCUCAUAAACCUACCCAAAGUCCCAGGAGAAGUGGAGUGAGUAUGACAUAUGCAUCCUCCAAGGGAAAAAAACUAUUCUGCAGUUAUUUUCAGGGCAAAGACGUAUAUCUUUUAAUAGAUUACAGACUGUAGGCUAGAUUUUCUCAGAGAAAGAUAUUGGGGAU
rnacentral:lncRNA from 1 species